UACGUAGGGACCAAGCGUUGUUCGGAUUUACUGGGCGUAAAGGGCGCGUAGGCGGCUAUUCAAGUCAUCUGUGAAAUCUCCGGGCUUAACCCGGAACGGUCAGAUGAUACUGCUUUGCUAGAGUGCGGAAGGGGCAAUCGGAAUUCUCGGUGUAGCGGUGAAAUGCGUAGAUAUCGAGAGGAACACCUGAGGUGAAGACGGGUUGCUGGGCCGACACUGACGCUGACAGCGCGAAAGCCAGGGGAGCAAACGGG
rnacentral:rRNA from 1 species